AGCAGGCCUUCAUAUCCAUAAGGAUUCAAUGAUCAGCCCAAGCAGGCUGUUUCAAUCCAGAAUCUGAGCACAUUUAAUUAACUAGGCAAAUUCUGCAAGAUGCACCGUAUAGAUCAGGUACUUGACACAGUAGUCCUAGUAUAUCUAGGCACACAUCUGUAGCUGAGCAGUGGCUUGGGCAAGAAGAUAUGACCAGGAGCCUCCAGUUGCUGUUGACUGUACAGAAUACCUCCUUCUGCAAUACCUUUCAAAGCAUAUGGAUGAUAUCAAUGUUUGUCACCUACAGGAUCCUAUACUGUAUUUGCACAAA